UACGUAGGAUGCAAGCGUUGUCCGGAUUUACUGGGCGUAAAGCGCGCGCAGGCGGCACUCUAAGUACGCUGUGAAAUAUCCCGGCUCAACCGGGAGGGUGCAGUGUAGACUAGGGAGCUAGAGGUCGGUAGAGGGGGGUGGAAUUGCUGGUGUAGCGGUGAAAUGCGUAGAGAUCAGCAGGAACACCCGUGGCGAAGGCGGCCCCCUGGGCCGUACCUGACGCUGAGGCGGCGAAGGCUAGGGGAGCCGAACGGG
rnacentral:rRNA from 1 species